rnacentral:lncRNA from 1 species
CUGUGUCCCUGAAGGUGAAUGCAGUUCCCAUGCAGUGGAUGCAGAGUACCAAAAGUUGGUUACCGUAUGUUGUGACAGAGGAUGCAGUGCCCACGAGUUGGAUGCCGUGAACUGGCAGUGAUUGCAGUAUGCCUUCAGUGCCACUUAAGGUGGAUGCAGUUUCCCUGCAGUGGUUGCAGUGCCCCAUGUAUUGUCCUCGAAUGUGGAUACAGUGCUCAUGCAGUGGAUGCAGUGUCCCACAAUGUGGAGGCAUUGUGGUGUGUUGUAGUAUGCAGUGCUGAUGAAGGUGAAUGCAGUGAUCCUGCAGUGAUGGCAGUGCACCUGCAGUGCCAGUUCAGCUGGAUGCAGUGCUGCUGCAGUGGUUGCAGAGCCCCCUGCAUUGUUCGGGAAUGUGGAUGCAGUGCCCAUGCAGUAGUUGCAGUGUCCCACAAGGUGGAUGUUGUAUGUUGUGAUGCAAGAUGCAGUGCCCACGGAGGUGGAUGCAGUGAGCCAGUGUUGAAUGCAGUCUGCUUGUAGUGCCACUUCAGCUGGAUGCAGUGUUGCUGCAGUGGUUGCAGAGCCAACUGCAGUGUCCCUGAACGUGGAUGCAGUGGAUGCAGUGUCCCACAAUGUGCAUGCAGUAUGUUGUGACAGAGGAUGCAGGGCCCAUGAAGGCGGAUGCAGUGAUGCUGCAGUGGUUGCAGUGCCCCCUACAGUUCCCUGAAUGUGGAUGCAGUGCCCAUGCAGUAGUUGCAGUGUCCCACAAGGUGGAUGUCGUAUGUUGUGAUGGAAGAUGCAGUGCCCACGGAUGUGGAUGCAGUGAGCCUGUGCUGAAUGCAGUGUGCCUGAAGUGCGACUUCAGCUGUAUGCAGUGUCCCUGCAGUGGUUGCAGUGCCCACUGCAUUGUACGAGAACGUGGAUGCAGUGCCCAGGUAUUGGAUGCAGUGUCCCAGAAGGUGCAUGGAGUAUGUUGUGAUGGAGGAUGCAGUGCCCAUGAGGGUGGAUGCAGUGAUUCGGCAGUGGUUGCAGUACGCCCUGCUGUGUGCCUGAAUGUGCAUGCUCUCAACAUGCAGUGGAUGUAAUGAUCCUGCAGUGAUUGCAGUGCACACUAAUUUCCUCAUCAGCUGGAAGCAGUGUUGCUGCAGUGGUUGCAGUGCCCCCUGCAGUUUGCCUGAAUGUGGAUGCAGUGCUCAUGCAGUGGAUGCUGUGUCCCUCAAGGUGGAUGGCUUAUCUUGUGAUGGAGGAUUCAGUGAGAAUGAAGGAGGAUGCAGUAACCCUGAAGAUACUUCCGUGCACCUGCAGUGCCACCUCAGCUGGCUGCAGUGUCCCUACAGUG